rnacentral:rRNA from 1 species
UACGAAGGGGGGCUAGCGUUGCUCGGAAUCACUGGGCGUAAAGCGCACGUAGGCGGCUUUCUAAGUCAGGGGUGAAAUCCUGGAGCUCAACUCCAGAACUGCCUUUGAUACUGGGAAGCUCGAGUCCGGAAGAGGUGAGUGGAACUGCGAGUGUAGAGGUGAAAUUCGUAGAUAUUCGCAAGAACACCAGUGGCGAAGGCGGCUCACUGGCCCGAUACUGACGCUGAGGCACGAAAGCGUGGGGAGCAAACAGG